rnacentral:tRNA from 1 species
GGGCCAGUAGCUCAGCCUGGUUAGAGCGCACCCCUGAUAAGGGUGAGGCCGAAGGUUCAAGUCCUUCCUGGCCCA